CUACGGGCCGCAGCAGUGGGGAAUAUUGCACAAUGGAGGAAACUCUGAUGCAGCAACGCCGCGUGGAGGAUGACACUUUUCAGAGCGUAAACUCCUUUUAUAUAGGAAGAAGAUGACGGUACUAUAUGAAUAAGCGCCGGCUAACUCCGUGCCAGCAGCCGCGGUAAUACGGAGGGCGCAAGCGUUACUCGGAAUCACUGGGCGUAAAGAGCGUGUAGGCGGAUUAAAAAGUCAGAAGUGAAAUCCUAUAGCUUAACUAUAGAACUGCUUCUGAAACUCUUAAUCUAGAAUAUGGGAGAGGUAGAUGGAAUUUCUGGUGUAGGGGUAAAAUCCGUAGAGAUCAGAAGGAAUACCGAUUGCGAAGGCGAUCUACUAGAACAUUACUGACGCUAAGGCGUGAAAGCGUGGGGAGCAAACAGGAUUAGAUACCCCGGUAGUC
rnacentral:rRNA from 1 species